GAGGAUUUAGCUUAAUUAAAGUGAUUGAUUUGCGUUCAGUUGAUGUAAGGUACAGUCUUGCAAUCCUUA
rnacentral:tRNA from 1 species